ensembl:lncRNA
GCAAAACAACCAUUCCCUGCUUGCUCUCUGGCUUCCUGGCUCCAGAAUCCACUAUUCUCCAUGGAGACAGACACCAUCAAGGACAAGCACCUGGACUAUCUUCUCCCUCAAAGAGAUACAGGCUGGUGGGAAAGCUGAUGACCAGCAAGGUCAUGAGCUCCCUCCUGUCUGCAAGGAGUCUCAAGGCCAAAGACAGGCUGGUGGGAAAGCUCCAACCAGCAAGGCCAUAUGCUCCCCCUCCCCUACCUAAAGCCCCAAAUAAAAACCCUUCCUUCUAGCUUUUCGGGGAGUUUGGGAUUUCAGCGUUAGCUGCCCUCUCUUCUUGCUCAGCACUGUGCAAAAAUAAAAUUUCUACUUUAUUCCACCACAUCCGGUGUCAGAGAUUGGCUUGCUGCACAACGGGUGAGCGAACUCACUUCAGGUUUGGUAACAAUUUGGCAACCCAGAUGGGACAAUGUCCCAGGUGGACGUCUUGCCUGUGGCACACUGGCCUCUGGCUAAAGGCCUCUCUUGGAAGCUGUCCUGCAGCUGCCUGAGCCCCUUGUCUCAGGGACAGCCCCAAGCAGCUGGCUGCUAGCCAGACGUCCUUGGCCCAUGGCACUUUUGCUUUGGUGGUGGAAGAAACUAGGUUUAGGACUUAGGAAGACGUCUCUUGUAAGUAGCUGGUAGUUUUUGUUUUCGUCUUUGUGUUAACCUUUUCCAACAGGACCGGCCGGAAAUAAUGGGUACCUUGGCAGCCCUCUGGGCUCCGUUUGUUUUGAAGUCACCGCGACGCCCUGGCCAAAUUUUGGACACAAUUGGAAACAGUGGUUAUAUUACCAAGGCUUUGACUGGAACAUCAUGUUUGAAAAAACAUACGGGCUUGGAUAUAACAAGACAGCUUUUGAGGAAUGAAGGUUGACAUUCUGGAAUAAAGCCACUUGGAAAUAUUGGCCUGGUACUGUACUUAUGGGUUCUGUAACCUGGUAAGGUUAAGCAAAGAAUGUCGCUCCCUCUGGCAGGUACAAGGAACCUCAAUAUUUUGGGAAGCCUCAUGAAGAGAGGGAUUCACCCAAAUCUGUAGGUACUGCAGGCAGAAUGUGAUAACAGGUCCUUUGCUUGGCUUUCUUUGAGAGACCUUUAAAAUUCAACCUGAGAUUCCUUAUAAGGUUUCAGCAAAGCAGAUUUAAAAGAGCCUAUAUGAUCAAUUACUAUUCUUGCUGUACUUAUGUAAGUAAUUAUGCCAAAUUUAUUAAAACUGGACAUUUUGCAAACCAGUUAGUCUUAAUUUGGCUAUGUCUAGUGAAAUUGAAGAUGAUUUUAGGGAGGAAGAUUAUAUUUCAAUGGAAACUAUAAUACAUAUUUAUAAAUAUUGGAUUUUAGUUUUUUCAAUUAUCUUUGAAAUUUUUGUUUUACUUCUGUUAACUGGACUGGAUCUUGAAUUCUUCAUCUCCUGAAAUAUCUGGCUAAAAACCUCCAAACUAACAUUUUCAGGGUUUUUUUUCUCAUUAUUUUCAUUUGGAGUCAUUGAAAACUAAAUCUGCCCUUUGUCCUAAAGCCUUACAAACUGAAGCCGGAGGACCUAAUAUAAACUUAAGAGAGAUUCAUGUUUACUGCUGUGUAAGCCACUCAAAAAGCUACCUGAGUGCCCAAUGACACCAUCAGAGACAUUUCAAACUGCAAAAGAUGCUUCGACCCUGACUUCUAGGAAUCUUGAUUGGCUGGCCCCCAGGCUCAGAAACUGGUUUAUAAUUUGCUCCGAUCAUUAACCUUGUUUUUCUCUUUUUGUUUCUCUUGAAAAACUUCUUAAUAAAUACCUGGUUACCUACUUACAUGAUACAGGCCUACCUUCAGGAGCCCACCAGCAUCACUGCCUUAUUAAAAGACUGGUUCAAUGAGAUGAAACGACCUACGCCCCAUUUCAGCAGGAAGUAGCUAGAUCGGUCGCCACCCCAAAUCCCUCAAGACUGAGGGAUGGACAUAAAAUAGGGGGGAAGUUGACACCGAUCCUGAUAUCAGUUUCCCCACACUAAACCCAGCAUAUAUGGGGUUAAAAGCAAAACACCCAUUCCCUGCUUGCUCUCUGGCUCCCUGGCUCCAGAAUCCACUAUUCUCCAUGGAGACAGACAUCAUCAAGGACAAGCACCUGGACUAUCUCCUCCCACAAAGAUAUACGGGCUGGUGGGAAAGCUGAUGACCAGCAAGGUCAUGAGCUCCCUCCUGUCUGCAAGGAGUCUCAAGGCCAAAGACAAACUGGUGGGAAAGCUCCAACCAGCAAGGCCAUAUGCUCCCCCUCCCCUACCUAAAGCCCCAAAUAAAAACCCUUCCUUCUAGCUUUUCGGGGAGUUUGGGAUUUCAGCGUUAGCUGCCCUCUCUCCUUGCUCAGUGCUGUGCAAAAAUAAAAUUUCUACUAUCUUCCACCACACUCAGUGUCAGAGGCUGGCUUGCUGCACAACGGGUGAGCGAACUCACUUCAGGUUGGGUAACACUAUGUAUGAAGAUUGAGUUGUUUUAAAUGUGAAAGAGAUUUUAGACGCCAUCUGGUUUAUGUUCCCCUUUCUACCCUCAAGGAGAGACUUAAAGAGGCAAAGUGACUGGUUUGAGAUAGAUAUACUUUGUUUACAUAAGAAAGACAAUAAUUUUAAUUUAUACAAAACAAUAUGUUAUCUCCCAUUUUUCUGUAAGUGCCUGAUACUCUCAUUUUGUUUUCCAUUUUUCUGGGUUUUAUUACAAAAAGAAUAAAGAUAAAUAAUUCUCCUCCACCAGAAAAACCAUGUAAGUAUGAUGACAGUGGUAACUGACAGCCUCAGGAUCAGUGAGACAGCUGGGAGGGGUAGGGACUGCGGAGAAAUGGAGAGCAGCCGCCUCUGGUGUCCAGCCAACCAUUUGGGGCGUGUAGGCCCAGCUGCAGAUCUUCCAAGUUUUCAAGAGAAAUGAAGACGCAGGUUUAUAUUUGAAAUUUCCCAAUUUAUAAAUUUGGUUCAAAUUUUAAAAGUACUGUGUAGUUCAAAUGAAAUAUGAAUCUGUCCCACAUGAGGUCAAAGUAGGGGACAGGCAUAUGAAGGGACGCUGGAGAGGAGUCAAGGGUCAAACUACAGUGGACAUUUAAGAUCAUGGAAUAUAAUCCAAUGACAGCAGAAAUUUUUAGAGAUUUUAAAACUGGGACAGGGCUGGCCUGGUGGUGUAGAGGUUAAGUUAAGAUGCUCUGUUUUAGUGGCCCAGGGUUCGCAGGAUUGGAUCCCAGGCAGUGACCUACACUGCUCGUCAAGCCACACUGUGGCUGCAUCCCACAUACAAAAUAAAGGAAGACUGGCACAGAUACUAGCUCAGGGACAAUUUUCCUCAAACAUGAAAGAGGAAGAUUGGCAACAGAUGUUGGCUCACGCCUAAUCUUCCUCACCAAAAAUAUAAAUAAAUAAAAUAAAUAAAGAAUAAAACUGGCAGGGCCUGGCUCCUGGUGGAGUAAAGUUCUGUGUGCUCCACUCUGGCAGCCCAGCUUCACAGGUUCAGAUCCUGGGUGCGGACCUACUCCAUUCCUCAGCCAUGCUGUGGACAUGUCCCACUUACAAAAUAGAGGACAAUUUGCACAGAUGUUAUCUCAGGGCUGAUCUUCCUCACCAAAAAAGAAAAUAAAAAAUAAAUAAAAUAAAACUGGGAUAUAAAAGGAC